rnacentral:rRNA from 1 species
CCUACGGGAGGCUGCAGUGAGGAAUAUUGGUCAAUGGACGCAAGUCUGAACCAGCCAUGCCGCGUGCAGGAAGACGGCUCUAUGAGUUGUAAACUGCUUUUGUACGAGGGUAAACUCAGAUACGCGUAUCUGUCUGCAAGUAUCGUACGAAUAAGGAUCGGCUAACUCCGUGCCAGCAGCCGCGGUAAUACGGAGGAUUCAAGCGUUAUCCGGAUUUAUUGGGUUUAAAGGGUGCGUAGGCGGUCGGUUAAGUUAGUGGUGAAAUGCCGAGGCUCAACUUCGGAAUUGCCUCGGAUACUGUGCGGCUAGAGAGUAGUUGCGGUAGGCGGAAUGUAUGGUGUAGCGGUGAAAUGCUUAGAGAUCAUACAGAACACCGAUUGCGAAGGCAGCUUACCAAGCUACUACUGACGUUGAGGCACGAAAGCGUGGGGAGCAAACAGGAUUAGAUACCCGGGUAGUC